UUAUAGUCAUAACUAGGGGGAAGGGUUGCCAUAUACUUCCCAAGGAAGUUUGCAGCCUCUCACUGAAGAGGAACUGUACAGAUUUUUGUGCAUUAUCUUAUACACGCCUGCUGUGAAGUUCCAGUCGAUAGACAGAUAUUGGUCAACGCAUGCCCCUGUCGGAACAACUCGUUAUCAAGAAUUAUGUCUAGAAAUAGGUUUCAAGAGGUUGAAUAUAAGAACAUUUUUGUUAAAUAUGAUGCAAGUACAUUUAAAUCUAGUGAUUGAAAGUAAGUACUUGAACAUUCGUUUAUGUUGAACUUGGAGAGGAAAAAUGGUUAGUACUUUUUGAUAACAUUUGAUAAGGUGUUGUUGCUUAGCAACCAAAUAUAAUUGAAUAAAAAUAGAUUAUUUUAGAUUAACAAUAAUUGAAAGAUCUUUGUUUUAAUGUUGCAAUACUUAUUAUAUUUAAUGGAACAUAAUGGCAAAACGUCAUAUUAUUAGAAAAUGAUGGACAAGUAUAUAAAGUACGAAGUUUCCAUUUGAUGACCUUUGAUCUUAAUUCUCUUGAUUAUAUUUUUUGUUAAAAACCUUUUAAAAUGAUUAAUAUCUAUUUAAAGAUUAUAUUUUAAAAAUAAUGUGACAUUUACUAAUCAUCAUGGAUUGUAAUUACGUUUAAAUUGUGUCGAAUGGAUGCAGAAAGGCAAAUUAUGGUCAAAAUUGUACUAUGAGUGUUGUUACUUAGCAACCAAAAAUAUUUGUUUGUCAAUAAAAUUGAUUAGUUUGA